UCCUGACUGACCGAUAGUGAACCAGUACCGUGAGGGAAAGGCGAAAAGAACCCCGGCGAGGGGAGUGAAAAAGAACCUGAAACCGUGUACGUACAAGCAGUGGGAGCACGCUUAGGCGUGUGACUGCGUACCUUUUGUAUAAUGGGUCAGCGACUUAUAUUCUGUAGCAAGGUUAACCGAAUAGGGGAGCCGAAGGGAAACCGAGUCUUAACUGGGCGUUAAGUUGCAGGGUAUAGACCCGAAACCCGGUGAUCUAGCCAUGGGCAGGUUGAAGGUUGGGUAACACUAACUGGAGGACCGAACCGACUAAUGUUGAAAAAUUAGCGGAUGACUUGUGGCUGGGGGUGAAAGGCCAAUCAAACCGGGAGAUAGCUGGUUCUCCCCGAAAGCUAUUUAGGUAGCGCCUCGUGAAUUCAUCUCCGGGGGUAGAGCACUGUUUCGGCAAGGGGGUCAUCCCGACUUACCAACCCGAUGCAAACUGCGAAUACCGGAGAAUGUUAUCACGGGAGACACACGGCGGGUGCUAACGUCCGUCGUGAAGAGGGAAACAACCCAGACCGCCAGCUAAGGUCCCAAAGUCAUGGUUAAGUGGGAAACGAUGUGGGAAGGCCCAGACAGCCAGGAUGUUGGCUUAGAAGCAGCCAUCAUUUAAAGAAAGCGUAAUAGCUCACUGGUCGAGUCGGCCUGCGCGGAAGAUGUAACGGGGCUAAACCAUGCACCGAAGCUGCGGCAGCGACGCUGAUGCGUUGUUGGGUAGGGGAGCGUUCUGUAAGCCUGUGAAGGUGUGCUGUGAGGCAUGCUGGAGGUAUCAGAAGUGCGAAUGCUGACAUAAGUAACGAUAAAGCGGGUGAAAAGCCCGCUCGCCGGAAGACCAAGGGUUCCUGUCCAACGUUAAUCGGGGCAGGGUGAGUCGACCCCUAAGGCGAGGCCGAAAGGCGUAGUCGAUGGGAAACAGGUUAAUAUUCCUGUACUUGGUGUUACUGCGAAGGGGGGACGGAGAAGGCUAUGUUGGCCGGGCGACGGUUGUCCCGGUUUAAGCGUGUAGGCUGGUUUUCCAGGCAAAUCCGGAAAAUCAAGGCUGAGGCGUGAUGACGAGGCACUACGGUGCUGAAGCAACAAAUGCCCUGCUUCCAGGAAAAGCCUCUAAGCAUCAGGUAACAUCAAAUCGUACCCCAAACCGACACAGGUGGUCAGGUAGAGAAUACCAAGGCGCUUGAGAGAACUCGGGUGAAGGAACUAGGCAAAAUGGUGCCGUAACUUCGGGAGAAGG
rnacentral:rRNA from 1 species